rnacentral:piRNA from 1 species
AGCAGUUGAGCCAAAUCUGAGG